UACGGAGGGUGCAAGCGUUAUCCGGAAUCACUGGGUUUAAAGGGUGCGUAGGCGGCCUUAUAAGUCAGAUGUGAAAGCUCCCAGCUUAACUGGGAAAUUGCAUUUGAUACUGUAGGGCUUGAAUCAGGUUGAGGUUAGCGGAAUGUGACAUGUAGCGGUGAAAUGCUUAGAUAUGUCAUAGAACACCAAUUGCGUAGGCAGCUAACUAGGCCUGUAUUGACGCUGAGGCACGAAAGCGUGGGGAGCGAACAGG
rnacentral:rRNA from 1 species